rnacentral:rRNA from 1 species
AGUUUUGAGCUAAAUAUAUUUAUAAUAUUAGUUAUUCAUGAAGGUGUUGUAAAAUCUUUAUUUAAAAUUAUAUUUAGGGGUGAUAGGCCUUUCAAAAACUAAGAUAUCUUGAAUCUAAUUAAAAGUAUGUAGUACAAUUAACACAACUAUUAAGUGAUUAGGCUUUAUAGAAUUAUUAACUUAUAAGAUUUUAUUUACUAUAAUUUAAUAAUUAAGUAUAUAAAUAUAUUAAUAUUCAUAUAUUAUAGUUUAUAAAAGAGUAAUUAGAUAGAUUUAAGUUCAUAUUUCUUAUAAUAAUGUUAAUAUUAGUAUUAAGUUUAUAUUUAUAUGAUGAACUCGGCAAAAAUACUUUCUCAACUGUUUAUCAAAAACAUAACUAUGUGAUUGAAUACAUAGCGGUUUCUGCUCAA